rnacentral:lncRNA from 1 species
GCUUUACAAAUAUAAUUAUCUAUUCAUUUGAUGUAUUUGAGCUUUAAUUUUUCUACUUAACUUUAACUUUGUUAUUUAAUUUUUUUAAUGCGAAAUUUUUAAGUCUUGCCUUUCCAAUAUGUAUUAGUUACAAUGCUGACUUUCAAUUCAACAUGUUACAAGUCUUAAUUUGCAGUUAGGCAUUUUUCAAUAAAUUAAUCUUGAUUGUAGUUAAUGACCCAUUU